rnacentral:sRNA from 19 species
ACACCGAUGCAUUAAGCGUCGGCAUAAUAAUAAUGAUGAAAUUCCUCUUUGACGGGCCAAUAGAAAUAUUGGCCAUUUUUUU